rnacentral:rRNA from 1 species
UACGGAGGGGGCUAGCGUUGUUCGGAAUUACUGGGCGUAAAGCGCACGUAGGCGGCUUUGUAAGUUAGAGGUGAAAGCCCGGAGCUCAACUCCAGAACUGCCUUUAAGACUGCAUCGCUUGAACGUCGGAGAGGUAAGUGGAAUUCCGAGUGUAGAGGUGAAAUUCGUAGAUAUUCGGAAGAACACCAGUGGCGAAGGCGACUUACUGGACGACUGUUGACGCUGAGGUGCGAAAGCGUGGGGAGCAAACAGG